AGUUCGGAUUGCAGGCUGCAACCCGCCUGUAUGAAGUUGGAAUCGCUAGUAAUCGCGGAUCAGCAUGCCGCGGUGAAUACGUUCCCGGGCCUUGUACACACCGCCCGUCACACCAUGAGAGUCGGGAACACCCGAAGUCCGUAGCCUAACCGCAAGGAGGGCGCGGCCGAAGGUGGGUUCGAUAAUUGGGGUGAAGUCGUAACAAGGUAGC
rnacentral:rRNA from 1 species